AUUUUUUUCCUUUUCCCGCCCAAACUUCCAUCUCCUUUACUCUCUCUCCUAAAAAAAACCCUAAAUCUUCUCCUUCUCCUUCUCCUGUACUCCUCUAAUCGGCCUUCCUCUCCCACUAUCUUCCAUUCAUCAUCUUCAAUUUAUCAUUUCUGUGUUGAAGGUACGGUUAUCAUUCUUGCUAAAUCUUUACAUAGAAUUUGAGGAUGGAUCUUCUUCUUGACAAAUUCGUAACUCAAACCCUAAAAUCCAACAUUUUCCUCUGCUUUUUCUUAAUUCGGUUCAAUCAUUGUUCUAUCAUUCAUCUUUUUCCUGUUGAUUUCGUUACAUCUUGAAAGAUCUACAAACAGGAAAAAACAUCAACGGGUGAAAAAAAUUUGUUUGUUUUUCUUCAAUAUAUGGUUAGAUUGUGUUUUUAUGGUUAGAUUUUGUGUUUCUCAGAAAGAUUUGUGAGUAAAAACGAUGAAGAUUAUUCACAUGAGAUAAAAUGAACACCGGUUUGAAUGUACGCCUAGAACUAUAUAUGGGUCAUGGCCAUGAAAUAGCUUGGUCAAAUGGGUCGAUCCAUAUAUGUUUUAAUAGCAAAUGGUCUGGUUUUAUGAAAUAGCUUGGUCAAAUGAGUCACAAUGUAGUUUGAAAGUUUGGAACAAGUGAACAACUAUGCAAUGACCCGUUACUCGAUAUGUAUGCUGUUGGAAAUGAAGCUCAGGCAAUAAAUUAGGACAUCAACAACUUCUGUGACUUCAGUUCCAAAGCCACUGAAGUUUUUGCGUCCACAUUAUGGAACUCUUAAAUCGUAUUACGAGACUAUGCCAGAUUCUGAUUUAAAGAUAUUUCUUUUAUCUUAUUAACAUAAAUGAUAAAUUCUUAUUUUUUAUCAAUUUUCUGAUCAGGCUUUAUGUUUUUA